UACGUAGGGGGCGAGCGUUAUCCGGAAUUACUGGGCGUGAAGCGCACGCAGGCGGUUCGCCAAGUUUGGAGUGACAGUUGUCGGCUCAACCGACAAAGGACUUCAAAAACUGGUGAACUUGAGGACGAGAGAGGAACAUGGAACUCCAGGUGUAGUAGUGAAAUGCGUAGAUAUCUGGAAGAACACCAAUGGCGAAGGCAAUGUUCUGGCUCGUUUCUGACGCUCAGGUGCGAAAGCCAGGGGAGCGAACGGG
rnacentral:rRNA from 1 species